rnacentral:lncRNA from 1 species
CAUUGUUUAGGAGAGUUUGAGUAGAAGAAUAUUUCAAAGCCCUAUUUGCUCGUCAGCUUCAUGAAAAAUCUCAUCUUGAUUCAAUGAGAAUAUAGCAUUUUGGAUGUCAAAUGCUGUCCCUUUGGAUUAUAUAUAUAUAUAUAUAUAUAUAUANUCAUAUGUUUCAUGUGGGUUGCUAUAUGCUAGAACUGCCAAACCCUACAUCCGGAAUGUGGGUCCUCAUCCGACGGCUGUGAUUAUUUAUUCGGUAUAUAUAUAUAUAUAUAUAUAUAUAUAUAGUGCUUUGAUAAAACAUAUGCCUUGGCCUUGCACAACUAGAAUAAGUCCCUCCUUAGUUUGCUGAUGGGCCUAUAAAUGCAAUAGCUGCAAUUCAUGUGCAAGAUAGUCGUUUUAAUAAUGAAUUUUAGAUAGCGUUUAGUACUUUAUAAUGUAAUGUAAUUAUUGGUAAUAUGAUUGUAAGGAAAAUAAUAUUAUAGUAUUUAGUAUACAAGCAAAAUAAUGAUUAAAAUACAGGGAAGAUAACAUUACAGCGUUUGGUUUAUAAGUACUUUGCUGGAAAUGUAAUGUUAAUUUUCAAAAUUAUUCCUAUUUAUUAAAAUGCAAGUUUAAUAUACUUAUAUUUUUUAUUGUUAA